GAUGAACGCUGGCGGCGUGCCUAAUACAUGCAAGUCGAGCGGUAAGGCCACUUCGGUGGUACACGAGCGGCGGACGGCUGAGUAACGCGUAGGAACGUACCCCAAAGUGAGGGAUAAGCUCUGGAAACAGAGUCUAAUACCGCAUGUGAUCUAUGGAUCAAAGCCUUCGGGCGCUUUGGGAGCGGCCUGCGUAAGAUUAGCUAGUUGGUGAGGUAAUAGCUCACCAAGGCGACGAUCUUUAGCUGGUCUGAGAGGAUGAUCAGCCAGACUGGGACUGAGACACGGCCCAGACUCCUACGGGAGGCAGCAGUAGGGAAUUUUCCACAAUGGACGAAAGUCUGAUGGAGCAACACCGCGUGCAGGAUGAAGGCCUUCGGGUCGUAAACUGCUUUUAUGAGUGAAGAUUAUGACAGUAACUCAAGAAUAAGGGACGGCUAACUACGUGCCAGCAGCCGCAGUAA
rnacentral:rRNA from 1 species